AUUGAACGCUGGCGGCAUGCCUUACACAUGCAAGUCGAACGGCAGCACGGGUGCUUGCACCUGGUGGCGAGUGGCGAACGGGUGAGUAAUAUAUCGGAACAUGUCCUGUAGUGGGGGAUAGCCCGGCGAAAGCCGGAUUAAUACCGCAUACGAUCUACGGAUGAAAGCGGGGGCCCUUCGGGCCUCGCGCUAUAGGGUUGGCCGAUGGCUGAUUAGCUAGUUGGUGGGGUAAAGGCCUACCAAGGCGACGAUCAGUAGCUGGUCUGAGAGGACGACCAGCCACACUGGGACUGAGACACGGCCCAGACUCCUACGGGAGGCAGCAGUGGGGAAUUUUGGACAAUGGGCGAAAGCCUGAUCCAGCAAUGCCGCGUGUGUGAAGAAGGCCUUCGGGUUGUAAAGCACUUUUGUCCGGAAAGAAAUCCUUGGCCCUAAUACGGUCGGGGGAUGACGGUACCGGAAGAAUAAGCACCGGCUAACUACGUG
rnacentral:rRNA from 1 species